rnacentral:lncRNA from 1 species
CGCGAACAGCUCGCGCUCUGCGGCGAUUCCAAAGCCUCGCACCGGAAAAAUCUUCGGUUGCGGCGGGCGACAUUGGCUUCCUACCCAUUCAAAAUUUGCAGCUGCACCCGGGGCCCUCCUGAAAUCGAGCGCCAUGUUCAGGAGGAAGAAGGACACCACUGAAACCCAGAAGGCCAAGGAGGCCAAGGAUGCCAAGGACGCCAAGGAUGCGCGUGAAAAGAAGAAGCUGGCCUUGUUCCUCACCCCGAAUCCUCCGACUCCGCCCCUCAAGAAGCGAGCCGGGAGGCAACCUCUGAAACAAGGCAAUGCUGUUCUGCCUCGGGCCACUCAG